GUGCUUCCAGGAUCUUCCACUUUUCACUUUCCUCUUCUUUUAUUCUCUUUCCGUCUCUCUCUCAUCCUUCUCUUUCCGUUUCUCUCAUCCUAGAACUGAAGAAAGAUGGAAAAUCAGGGCUCUUCCAUUUGCUUCCACAGAUUUCUCGAUCUCUCUCGAGCUCCGGAUCGCUAGCCUCUGUAUGAAGGAAAUCGUCAAUCCUGCAGAAACCUUGGGUUUCCUGAUUUGAUCGGCUAUUUCAUCAGUUUUUCGAUUCGAUCAGGAUCGGGUUUUCACCCACGAAAUCUAGCGGCUUCUGAUGGCUUUUUCGAGGUUCGGUGAAUUUACAGGGGAGAGGGAGAGAGAGGCCUGUUGAGAUCUGGACUGUCGAAUGGAGAGGAUGAAAAGCAACUGCAGGAAAGCGGCAAUGGAGACCCGGCAGCAGCAUAUUCAAGUCGAUCUGUGUAAUCUCAUGGCCUUCGACCCUCAUCACAGCUUCCCCUCCAUCCCCUUCUCUAAGUUAUUUUUCUUUACUUAUUCAAUAUAUCUCUAUUUUUUGUUAAUAUUUUUGUUUAGUUCUGGGCUUUUUGAAAUUAUUGCUUUUGAGAAAUUAAUUGAAAAUUUACUUUUGGAAAUUGGGAUUUUAUUUGGAUUAAUCCCAUCAGUAAAGUGCCAGUCAUAAGUGAAAUAGUGAAUUUAUCACACUAUGCUGAUGGGUUUUUGUUCAGUGGGUGAAAUUCUGAUUUCUUUUUUUCAUGGUAUUUAGGGAGGAAUUAGUGAAGAAUGUAUAACGAAAGGGACCGAGUUGGUUUAAGCUAUUGCAAAUGGUCUUUUCAACUCACAUUCAACUGAAGACAUAGACGGUCCCAUUGUGCAGUUGUUUGCUUCCUGAAACUAAACUGCCAAGAUAGAAGCAUGUGGAUCGUAUUUGAUUGAGAAUAAGAUACCGUGCAUUAUCGAUUUUGGUAUGAAUGUUGGGGAUGAGGUAUAUAUCUUAAAACUCUUCUAAAAAAAAAGUUAAGGAUUGGUACAUAGGAAAACAGCCAAAGAAUCCUGUUGUUAAAUUGUCCAUUCCUGCCAAAUUUUAAACGAACCGGAGCGUGUGUUCUUUGCAAUCUUAAGCCAGAAAACAUGUGGAGUACUAAGUCAGAAUGGUUCUUGCUGCUUCGGACAGCGGCCACACCACAUCAAGAAAAUGCCCUUUGAUUUCACCUUAUUUACAAGAAAGCCAUCUAAUUUGGGGCUGGGUUGGAGGGUAAUUAUGAAAAGAUAGGAGGGUAAUUUUGUGCGUGAGAUUUGGGUGCCUGCUAUACACGUGUUGGGCUGACCAUUACAUUGGGUUGCAUUCGUGGGAUCGACGGCUGUGUGGUGGGAUUUGGUGAGGGGAUGGGUUAGAGUGAGCCUUCAGCCAACUUUCUGGCUUCAUUUCCCCUUUCUCAAACCCUAGCAGCCACAACACCAUCUAUGGAAUAGCAUCGGCUUUUGCUUCCUAAAACCAAAACUACACAAACUCGGCUUUAUUUCUGUAACUCGAGCUUCGGUGAGAUGAAGGAGAAGAGCAGAGAGAUGGGCUCGAGUCGCCGGGCGGAAGAGAUCUUCAGGGAUUAACGAGAGAGAGAGGUCGAGCAAGGUUUCGUCGAUUUCAGUCAACUUGGGCUACCCCCAACGUCCAGUGAGGAAAAACCACUUUCGUGAAGAGGCAUCUCACUGGUGAAUUCGAGAAGAAAUACGAGCAUAAGAGACAUUUCUGACAUUUCCGUCCAUUGCGCCGUGUUGUUAGUUUGUUGUUAUAAUUAGUUUGACCUUGAUAUGUUUGCUUAUACUUAACAUUCAUUUUCUGUUACUUUUCUAUGCAAACAGCCACCAUUGGUGUGGAGGUUCAUCCACUGGACUUCUUCACAAAUUGUGGAAGGAUCCGCAUUUACUUCUGGGACACUGCUGGGCAAGAGAAGUUUGGCGGUCUUCGAGAUGGUCGCUACAUUCAUGGGCAAUGUGCAACUACAACUUAGAAACCCUCCUCUACUUGGCAAGGAAGCUUGCAGGUGACGCAAAUCUUCAUUUCGUCGAGUCUCCGACCCUUGCUCCUCCAGAAGUGCACUUUGACAUGGCUGCCUAACAAUAGCAUGAAGCUGAGCUUGCGGCAACAGCUGCCCAACCUCUUCCUGAUGACGAUGACGAGGCAUUUGAAUAGACGGGGAGAUGAUGCAUUUCAAUAUACCGUGGCAUAUUUCUUCUAGGAGAUGGCUUUCAUUCAUUCUGUCAAGAUUUGAUUUUCAAAGUGUCAUGUCUUAGAACAAAGGGCCUCUUUUAGUCAGAUUCAACUACAGCUACUAUUAGGUGAUCUUUCAAUGGGAAUUUCAAGUCAUAAUUCUAGCCUAUCUAAAGGUGAUGGAGGAACAUAUAAGCAUGUCAGCUCUUUGGAAUGCUCUUCUGAUGAAUCUUCGCAGGGUAAGCGAGUAUGCAGAAAUUUUUUUUGUUUGUUUUGAAAUUUAUUUUUUUCAAUGUUUUUAGGUUUAAUUUGUAUCUGUUUUGGAAUGAUGUUUAAGUUUAUUGAACGUAUUAGGAUUCGGUAUUAUUGAGUUGUUUGAAUAUGAAGAAUCUCUUGACAUAAUUGGUUAGUAUUUUUAUUUGUUUUCUGUAUUAGCUUUUUUUUUUUGGGUAAUGUGAGCUUCUAUUAACUUUUGUGUUCCAUUCAACUCUAAAUAAAAUUAAAUGUCCGAGAUUAGGGAAGUUAAUUGCUGACUUAAAACCUGAUAAUGUUUUAUUGCUUGAUGAUACUUGGGAAGUCACUGAUUUUGGUUUAGGUGAGUUUUGUGGUUUUAUAUGUUUUAACAUAAUGCAUGUGAGAAAUCUUUUGUCUUUGUUGAAAUGGAAGAAAUUUCUAUUGAAGACUUUUCUACGAAAAAGUUCAUUUAUGUUUUUCGUAGUCUUUUGCAUAAGUGAACAAUUUGGUAAAGAUAAUGAAAAACAUAACUGAACUUUUUCGUAGAAAAGUCUUCAAAAGAAAUUUCUUCCAUUUCAACAAAGACAAAAGAUUUCUCACAUGCAUUAUUCUAAAACAUAUAAAACCACAAAACUCACCUAAACCAAAAUCAGCGACUUUUCAAGUAUCAUCAAGCACCAACACAUUAUCAGGUUUUAAGUCAGCAAUUAACUUUCCUGACCUCGGACAUUUAAUUUUAUUUAGACCUGAAUGGAACACAAAACUUAAUAGAAACUCACAUUACCAUGCUAAUACAGAAAACAAAUAAAAAUACUAACCAAUUAUGUCAACUGAUUCUUCAGAUUCAAACAACUCAAUAAUUCUGAAUCCUAACAUGUUCAAUAAAGUUAAACAUCAUUCCACAGAUACAAAUUAAACCUAAAACACUGAAGAAAAAAAAAUUUCAAAACAAACAAAAGAUUUUCUGCUUACCUUACAAGAUUCAUCAAAAGAUCUGUCAUGCUUAUAUUUUUCCUCCAUCACCUUCAGAUAGGCUAGAAUUAUGACUCGAAAUUCCCAUUGAAAGAUCACCUUACAAAGAGCUGCCAUGCUUAUAUUUUCCUCCAUCACCUUCAAUUACCAUUAGGUAUUGUUUAUCAGAUAGGCUAGAACACAUGACCUUUUAAGUCAGAUUCAACACAGCGCCUAUUUCAGAGCUUAGGAACAGAAAUUUGAAAAAUUAUACGUUUGAAACACAGGGCCUCUUUUAGUCGUUUCAUUCUUUUCUGUAAUUUUUUAACAAUUAAUAUGGACUGUUGAAUUUUAGAAAGUUUGAAAUCCAACAGCCCAAAAGUGGACACGUGGCCAACGGUAAGAUUUCUGACAUUUUUUAA